UCAAGAGCAUGGUACACAGUAGUUCCUGG
rnacentral:piRNA from 1 species